CCUACGGGUGUCAGCAGUGAGGAAUAUUGGUCAAUGGACGAGAGUCUGAACCAGCCAAGUAGCGUGAAGGAUGACUGCGCUAUGGGUUGUAAACUUCUUUUAUAUGGGAAUAAAAUGUUCCACGUGUGGGAUUUUGUAUGUACAAUUUUAAUAAGGCUCGGCUAACUCCGUGCCAGCAUCCGCGGUAAUCAGGAGGAUCCGGGCGUUAUCCGGAUUUAUUGGGGUUAACGGGUGCGUAGGUGGAUUGUUAAGUCAGUUGUGAAAGUUUGCGGCUCAACCGUAAAAUUGCAGUUGAAACUGGCAGUCUUGAGUACAGUAGAGGUGGGCGGAAUGCGUGGUGUAGCGGUGAAAUGCUUAGAUAUCACGAAGAACUCCGAUUGCGAAGGCAGUUCACUGGACUGCAACUGACACUGAGGCUCGAAAGUGUGGGUAUCAAACAGGAUUAGAUACCCCUGUAGUC
rnacentral:rRNA from 1 species